CCACAUUGGGACUGAGACACGGCCCAAACUCCUACGGGAGGCAGCAGUGGGGAAUAUUGGACAAUGGGCGCAAGCCUGAUCCAGCCAUACCGCGUGAGUGAUGAAGGCCUUAGGGUUGUAAAGCUCUUUCCACCGGUGAAGAUAAUGACGGUAACCGGAGAAGAAGCCCCGGCUAACUUCGUGCCAGCAGCCGCGGUAAUACGAAGGGGGCUAGCGUUGUUCGGAAUUACUGGGCGUAAAGCGCAUGUAGGCGGACAUUUAAGUCAGGGGUGAAAUACCCGGGGCUCAACCUCGGAACUGCCUUUGAUACUGGGUGUCUAGAGUGUGGAACAGGUAAGUGGAAUUCCGAGUGUAGAGGUGAAAUUCGUAGAUAUUCGGAGGAACACCAGUGGCGAAGGCGGCUUACUGGUACCAUUACUGA
rnacentral:rRNA from 1 species